GCGGGAGUAGCUCAGUUGGUAGAGCGAUAGCCUUCCAAGCUAUAGGUCGCGAGUUCGAGCCUCGUUUCCCGCU
rnacentral:tRNA from 3 species